AUGAAUCUUCAGGGCAGGGUGAGCAAUUGAAUACUUACGUAUUAUUUUGCAUUUCCCGACCGGCGGUACAGCCCGCGAGCUUUUAAUUAAGCAGAUCCGGUUUAAUUCCGGAGCCGACAGUAAAGUCUGGAUGAAAGAAGGUUGUG
rnacentral:ncRNA from 1 species